GCCCCGGUAGCUCAGGGGAUAGAGCGGCUGCCUUCUAAGCAGCGGGUCGUGGGUUCGAAUCCCACCUGGGGCGCCA
rnacentral:tRNA from 4 species